AACGAACGCUGGCAGCGUGGAUUAGGCGUGCAAGUCGAACGGGAUCCGGAAGGUAGCAAUACCGGCCGGUGAGAGUGGCGGAAGGGCGAGGAGCACGUGGACAACCUGUCCCGUGGGUGGGGAUACCGUCCCGAAAGGGGCGUUAAUACCGAAUGGGGCCCCGGACCGCAUGGUCCGGCGGCCAAAGGCGGGGACCGCAAGGCCCGCCCCCCCGGGAGGGGUCCGCGCACCAUCAGCUAGACGGCGGGGUAACGGCCCACCGUGGCUUACGGUUAGCUGGUCUGAGAGGACGAACAGCCGCACUGGGACUGAGACACUGCCCAGACUCCUACGGGAGGCUGCAGUCGAGGAUCAUUCGCAAUGGGCGAAAGCCUGACGAUGCGACGCUGCGUGGAGGAUGAAGGCCCUCGGGUCGUAAACUCCCGUCAUGGGGGGCGAGGCGGAGGCGGUUAACGGCCGCCCGAGUUGACGGUACCCCAAGAGGAAGCCACGGCUAACUCUGUG
rnacentral:rRNA from 1 species